UACGUAGGGACCGAGCGUUGUCCGGAAUCAUUGGGCGUAAAGAGCGUGUAGGCGGCUAUUUAAGUCCUGCGUGAAAUCCUGCGGCUCAACCGCAGACGGUCGUGGGAAACUGGAUGGCUAGAGUGCGGGAGAGGAGAGUGGAAUUCCCGGUGUAGCGGUGAAAUGCGCAGAUAUCGGGAGGAACACCAGUGGCGAAGGCGGCGACCUGGACGGACAUUGACGCUGAGACGCGAAAGCGUGGGGAGCAAACAGG
rnacentral:rRNA from 1 species